CUAAAGGCUAAAAAUAUUAAAUUGAAUUUAUGAAAACGUGAACUUUUCUCUGAUAAAGCGAUCUAAAUUUAUUUUAUUUUAUUACCUAUAAGGAGAAAAAAAAUGCAAAAUCUCACAUUUAUUUAUGUUUUGAUCAUUUCCCUUUCUUUAUUUCUUGUUGAAACAUGUAGAACUCCCAUUUCCUGUGUUGUUGAUGAUGAUUGUAUUGAUUAUUAUUUAUCUCCGGUAAUGAAGUGUGUUGAUAAAUUUUGUGUCAUUCGGAUAUGGAAAUGAUUAAUUUUAAAUUAUUUAUAUUACUUAUAAGUGUAUAUUUCUUUUUUCUAAUGUUUAAUAUUUAUUUCAAAAAUAAUAUAUGUUCAUGUGACAUUCACUUUUUAGGACAAAGAUCUUAAGUGUGUGAAAAUAGAUUUACCUUGGUUUUUUAAUAGAAGAUAUAGCAAAUAAUAAUCUCAUUGUAUAAUUAUAAUGUAAUAAUUUAUCUUUACAUAUAAAUGCAAUAUAUGAUUAUAAGUAUUUA